GAUGAACGCUGGCGGCGUGCCUAAUACAUGCAAGUCGAGCGAACGGACGAGAAGCAUGCUUCUCUGAUGUUAGCGGCGGACGGGUGAGUAACACGUGGAUAACCUACCUAUAAGACUGGGAUAACUUCGGGAAACCGGCGCUAAUACCGGAUGAUAUUUUGAACCGCAUGGUUCAAAAGUGAAAGACGGUCUUGCUGUCACUUAUAGAUGGAUCCGCGCUGCAUUAGCUAGUUGGUAAGGUAACGGCUUACCAAGGCAACGAUGCAUAGCCGACCUGAGAGGGUGAUCGGCCACACUGGAACUGAGACACGGUCCAGACUCCUACGGGAGGCAGCAGUAGGGAAUCUUCCGCAAUGGGCGAAAGCCUGACGGAGCAACGCCGCGUGAGUGAUGAAGGUCUUCGGAUCGUAAAACUCUGUUAUUAGGGAAGAACAUAUGUGCAAGUAACUGUGCACAUCUUGACGGUACCUAAUCAGAAAGCCACGGCUAACUACGUG
rnacentral:rRNA from 1 species